rnacentral:lncRNA from 1 species
CUCAACUCGAGGCUAAACACUUUAACAUACAUUCUUCGGAGUAAUUUGCACGAUCUUGUGAUAUCGACAUUCCCAUUUCGUAGAGGAGACUGUGAGCCUCAGAGAGCCCCAAGGGAAACCAGCAAACUGAAUGCAAAGCUUUUAUUUCAUGUAUCAGGAAUCCUUGCUCCCAGUGACUCAUGUCGUGUCAGUCAGGGUUCUCCAGAGAAACAUAACCAACAGGGAACCAGGAAAGCUGGUGGUGUAAUUCAGGCUGAGUCCAAAGGCCCGAGAGCCAGGAGUGCCAAUGUCUGAGGCAGAAGAAGAUGGAUGCCCAGCUCACACAGAGAGCAAAUUCGCCCUCCCUCUGCCCUUUUGUUUUCGUCAGGCAGUCAACGGAGUGAAUGAUGCCUCCUCUACUCGCAUGAUCCCACAGUAAAGGCUCCUGCUCACACGUCCUCCCUUUCCUUCUGCCUCGUGCUGACCUCCACACUCCCCCAGGUGGCCCCCCAGGGCUCGGCCUGCCUGCUCCUCUUGGGAACUGGAUUCUCAUAUGUAUGUGAGACUCAUAUAGUAGGGCGAGAUCCUAAAGUGCAUAUUUUCAGCUUUGAACCAAAGCAAGAAUCUCCAGUCCUGUAACCCUGGUCCAGUUUGAUCCGGACUGAAUGCUUAACUCUGCUGAGAGAAGAUGGACACACUGUUAAGUUGGAGUUAAAUCUAAGCAGAGGCAAAUACAGCAGGCAGAACCCAGAAAAAUCAGACCCAACAGCCUGAUAAAUCGCCUGAUAAAUGAGUCGCGAGUGGUUCUGAUUCUCUAAAUUCCAUCAGAAAGGCGACAGCAGGCUUGCUGCUUACAGACCCUUACAGACCGCUGACCCCCCACCGGCUGCUGGGAGGGAACGACGUCA